AUUGAACGCUGGCGGCAUGCUUUACACAUGCAAGUCGAACGGCAGCGCGGGCUUCGGCCUUUCUGCGAGUGUCGAACGGGUGGGUAGUACAACGGAACGUGCCCAUUCGUGGGGGAUAGCUCGGCGAACGCCGGAUUAAUACCACAUACGACCUGAUUUUGAAAGCGGGGGGUCGUCGGACCUCGCGCUAUUGCAGCCGCCUCUGGCAGAUUGGCCAGUGGGUGGGGUAAAGGCCUACCAAGGCGACGCUCAGUAGCUGGUCUGAGAGGACCCUCAGCCACACUGGGACUGAGACACGGCCCAGACGCCUACGGGAGGCAGCAGUGGGGAAUUUUGGACAAUGGGCGAAAGCCUGAUCCAGCAAUGCCGCGUGUGUGAUGAAGGCCUUCGGGUUGUAAAGCACUUUUGGCGGGAACGAAAAGGACUGUGCAAAUACCACGGUUCGAUGACGGUACCCGGAGAGUAAGCCACGGCUAACUACGUG
rnacentral:rRNA from 1 species